rnacentral:rRNA from 1 species
GAUGGGCCCGCAUCUGAUUAGCUAGUUGGUGAGAUAACAGCCCACCAAGGCGACGAUCAGUAGCCGACCUGAGAGGGUGAUCGGCCACAUUGGGACUGAGACAGCGGCCCAAACUCGUACGGGAGGCAGCAGUGGGGAAUAUUGCACAAUGGGCGAAAGCCUGAUGCAGCAACGCCGCGUGAAGGAUGAAGGGUUUCGGCUCGUAAACUUCUAUCAAUAGGGAAGAAACAAAUGACGGUACCUAAAUAAGAAGCCCCGGCUAACUACGUGCCAGCAGCCGCGGUAAUACGUAGGGGGCAAGCGUUAUCCGGAAUUACUGGGUGUAAAGGGAGCGUAGGCGGCAUGGUAAGCCAGAUGUGAAAGCCUUGGGCUUAACCCGAGGAUUGCAUUUGGAACUAUCAAGCUAGAGUACAGGAGAGGAAAGCGGAAUUCCUAGUGUAGCGGUGAAAUGCGUAGAUAUUAGGAAGAA